UCUCUGGUAGUAUAUCGGUUAGUACACGCGCCUGUCAUGUGUUAGAUGUCUAGCUACGCGCGAAAGCUGGGUUCGACUCCCAGCCAGAGAG